rnacentral:rRNA from 1 species
UGGAAAGGAUGGGCUCGAAAGCGUGUCGUAUGAGGUACCCGUAUGGAAUGGGGUAGAGCGAGAGGGCGAAUAGGAGGGGGGGUCCUGCCCUUAACUCUGGGAUAAGCCUUGGAAACGGAAAAAAUACUGGAUAUUGACUUUUCCUCGCAUGGGGAUUGGUUGAAAGAUUUAUUGGUUUUGGAUGGACUCGCGCCCUCAUCAACUUGUUGGUGAGGAAUGGCUCAUUAGGCCACUACUUUUACCG